rnacentral:rRNA from 1 species
GGACGUCGGAGGGAACUAGCAUGCGAGUCAUUGUAGCAAUACAAGGCAGACGGCUCAGUAACGCGUAGUCAACCUACCCUAUGGACGGGAAUAACCUCGGGAAACUGAGAAUAAUGCCCGAUAGAACAUUAUGCCUGGAAUGGUUUAUGUUUCAAAUGAUUUAUCGCCGUAGGAUGGGACUGCGGCCUAUCAGUUUGUCGGUGAGGUAAUGGCCCACCAAGACUAUUACAGGUACGGGCUCUGAGAGGAGUAGCCCGGAGAUGGGUACUGAGACACGGACCCAGGCCCUAUGGGGCGCAGCAGGCGAGAAAACUUUGCAAUGUGCGAAAGCACGACAAGGUUAAUCCGAGUGGUUUCUGCUAAAGAAACCUUUUGCUAGUCCUAGAAACACUAGUGAAUAAGGGGUGGGCAAGUUCUGGUGUCAGCCGCCGCGGUAAAACCAGCACCUCAAGUGGUCAGGAUGAUUAUUGGGCCUAAAGCAUCCGUAGCUCGUUUUGUAAGUUUUCGGUUAAAUCCAUACGCUCAACGUAUGGGCUGCCGGGAAUACUGCAUAACUAGGAAGUGGGAGAGGUAGACGGUACUCGGUAGGAAGGGGUAAAAUCCUUUGAUCUAUUGAUGACCACCUGUGGCGAAGGCGGUCUACCAGAACACGUUCGACGGUGAGGGAUGAAAGCUGGGGGAGCAAACCGGAUUAGAUACCCGGGUAGUCCCAGCUGUAAACUAUGCAAACUCAGUGAUGCAUUGGCUUGUGGCCAAUGCAGUGCUGCAGGGAAGCCGUUAAGUUUGCCGCCUGGGGAAGUACGUACGCAAGUAUGAAACUUAAAGGAAUUGGCGGGGGAGCACCACAAGGGGUGAAGCCUGCGGUUCAAUUGGAGUCAACGCCGGG